AUCAUCAGUUCAGCAACUUGGACAUUUGGUUCUCCCCGUCCCGCGUCUGCCUGAAGCUUCCACGCCGCCCUGCUGCCUGCACACGGGGCUUUUUACACGUGCGGCCGGCAGGGUCUAUGGGGCUGGAGGCGCUCACAUGUCCCCGCCAUCGGUGGGUCCCAGGACGCUGAGGCCACAAGUCCAGUCGGUCACAAGGUCUGUGGAGGCCAAAGGUCCUUUGGAGGCGGGGCUCUUGAAGGGAUCAGGAGGUGCGGGCGGCGUCGGGAGUGGCUGGCCUCGGGCCGGGGUCUUGGCGCCCGCUGCAUGGUUGCGCUGGUGCUUGCGGAGGUGGUCCUUGCGGAUGAAGCUUUUGCCGCAGACGGUGCAGGUGAAGGGCCGCACGCCCGUGUGCGUUCGGUAGUGGUCGAUGAGCUUGGAGCGUUCGGUGAAGCGCUUCUCACACUCGGUGCAGGGGAAGGGCCGCUCGCCCGUGUGCAGCAUGCGAUGGCGGAUGAGGUGCGCGGGGCGCGUGAAGCAACGGCCGCACUCCCCACACCGAAGGGCGCUGCCAUCCCGUGCGCUGCCCCCACCGCUGCCGCCACCGCCGCCGCCGCUGCCGCUGCCGCCACCGCCUGUGCCCGGGCCCGACCCGUCGGGCGCCCCACAGCUGCGCUGGUGCGCGCUCAGGCUGACUUGCAGCUGGAAGCUCUUCCCACACGUGGCACAGGUGAAAGGCCGGCCCCCGGGGGGCGCCGCGGGGUGCUUCUUCAGCCCUGGCUUGUGGCCAAAGCCUUUGGUCCGGCCAGGGUAUUUACAGGGUUCGUUGAAGGGCCUUGGGGCCUGGCUGGGGUCCAAGAUGGCCUCUCCGUUGUCCGGGGAGGAGUAAGGAAGCCCCUCGGGCCCCGUCCUCGGGUUCAGGCCCACUGGCGGUUUACACCGGAAAUUCCAGCCCCACCGGACCCCUCCGAAGAGCCAGUCCCCAGGAGGGGUCUCCUCCUGGGCCACAGCAGGACUGAGCUCACCCAUGUCCCUCUCAGGCCGGGCGGGCUCUCGCAGCCCCAGCACAGGGUCCUGGCUGGGGAAGGAGCUGCCCUGGCUUUCCCAGGCUCCUUCCUGGGCAGGACUAGGGAAAAACCGUGUGGCUUGGCCUGGUCCAAACAGGGUCCCGUGAGCCUCUAGGUCAGUAGGAUGUACGGGUGUGGCCACCACCUCCUCUUCCUGGACUUCUGUUUUUAUUACAAUUUUUACAUCUGCUGAGAAAGACAGAAAGACAGAUACUGACCUGUCCCUUAACUGCUGAGCGAGCCACAAUCUGCCACCAUCACCUGCUCAGCAGCUGUGUGGCCAGACAAACUAGGCCCCAGCAUGGGCAAAUGCAGAUCUGCCUCAGAGGGGCACCCACACAAUGCAGUCCACAGGGGGCUCCUAAGGGAAAACUAAAACCAGAAGAAUCAACAUUCUAGAAAUGACAGAGGCAGCUGUGGAAAUGAAAAACUCAAAUGGAUGGCUCUGUUUUAUGAGGCUAAGACAAUUUUUAUUGCACAAACUAGAGGGGUAGUAUAUGAACAAAUUUAAAAAAUAAUCUCAUAUAUGAACAGAUAUGCAAAGAUUCUAAAUGAAAGAAUUACAAAUCAAACUCAGCACACAUCUAGACACAUUGUAUUAAAACUGCAGAUCACCCAAGACAGAGACCUAAAAGCAGGGAAAGAAAAAAUGCAGAUCAUCCGCAAAGGAAUCCUGAUUAGACUGAUGGCAGAUUCUCAAUAGCAACAACAAAAGCCAGAAAAAAGGGGCUCAAUAUAAAAUGAUUUAUAUUAUUUUAUACAUGCAUAUUUUGUACUCACGGCUUGUUUUUGUACACGGUUUUUGAAAUGCGGUAUGUAUUUUAUCCUUACAGCACAUUUCAAGUGCUCAGUAGCUACAGGUGGAUAGUGGCUACUGUUUGGAUAUUUAAAAGGUAAAGGU
rnacentral:lncRNA from 1 species